GUGGGGAAUCUUCCACAAUGGACGAAAGUCUGAUGGAGCAACGCCGCGUGAGUGAAGAAGGGUUUCGGCUCGUAAAGCUCUGUUGUCGGGGACGAAUGUGCAGUAUUUGAAUAAAGUAGUGCAAUGACGGUACCUGACGAGGAAGCCACGGCUAACUACGUGCCAGCAGCCGCGGUAAUACGUAGGUGGCAAGCGUUGUCCGGAAUUAUUGGGCGUAAAGGGAGCGCAGGCGGGAAGGUAAGUCGGUCUUAAAAGUGCGGGGCUCAACCCCGUGAUGGGAUCGAAACUAUCUUUCUUGAGUGCAGGAGAGGAAAGUGGAAUUCCAAGUGUAGCGGUGAAAUGCGUAGAGAUUUGGAAGAACACCAGUGGCGAAGGCGACUUUCUGGACGAUGUCUGACGCUGAGGCGCGAAAGCUAGGGGAGCGAACGGGAUUAGAAACCCGUGUAGUCC
rnacentral:rRNA from 1 species